AUGGUUGGUUAUCCGCCCAGUAUCAUUGUCCAGCUAUUUAAUGAUUGGGAAAUCGAGCUAUUGAUUCUCCUAAUCUUGGCCUUGCAACUCUUCAUCUUUUUCUUUGGUGGCCUCAGGCGUCGCAACAACCAUAUGCUACUUCAGCUUCCACUUUGGUUGGCAUACCUAGCAGCCGACUCUGUUGCCAUAUACGCACUAGGCUACCUCUAUCGUCAUUUACCCACCACCACUACAAACAAUGAUCAUGCAAUGUCGAACCAAACACAACUCCUCAAAGUCUUGUGGGCACCUUUUCUUCUCGUCCACCUUGGCGGCCAAGACACUUUAACUGCCUUUUCCAUUGAGGACAAUGAGCUAUGGUUGAGGCACAUGCUAAAUUUGAUAGUCCAAGUCUCCCUAGUUUUGUAUGUACUAUGCAAGUCUGUGGCAGCGUAUGACCGGAUCACGGUUCUGGUUAUCUUUGUAUUUAUCACGGGGAUCAUCAACUAUGUGGAGAGGAUAUGGGCACUCAAGCAAGGGAGCAAGAAAUCCCUUAAGGGCUCCAGUCACAUAGAAGUGGUGCAAUCACGUGAAGUACAACAAGAAGUUGGAACUGAGUUUACAUAUCCAACAAUUGUGAAGGGUGCUCUUGAUUGUCAACAACAUGUCAAACAUUUAUUCGCUAAACAGAUAAUUUUGCAAAUGAUGCAAACCUUGCAAGAUUCCAUCUAUACUUUUUAUGAAGAACAACAUGAGGAAGGAAAUCAUUCUCAACUAUUUUUCAAAAGCCAAAAACUAGGCCGUGGUGGUCAAACUCCAUGGGGCAGUACAACUUAG
rnacentral:rRNA from 1 species